AUUGAACGCUGGCGGGAGGCCUAACACAUGCAAGUCGAGCGAGCGGCGGACGGGUGAGUACUGUAUGGGGAUCUGCCUGGUGGCGGGGGAUAACUACUGGAAACGGUAGCUAAUACCGCAUACCAUCAGAUGAACCCAGAUGGGAUUAGCUUGUAGGUGAGGUAACGGCUCACCUAGGCGACGAUCUCUAGCUGGUGUGAGAGGAUGAUCAGCCACACUGGGACUGAGACACGGCCCAGACUCCUGCGGGAGGCAGCAGUGGGGAAUAUUGCACAAUGGGGGAAAGCCUGAUGCAGCCAUGCCGCGUGUAUGAAGAAGGCCUUCGGGUUGUAAAGUACUUUCAGUCGGGAGGCGGUACCGACAGAAGAAGCACCGGCUAACUCCGUGCCAGCAGCCGCGGUAAUAC
rnacentral:rRNA from 1 species